rnacentral:rRNA from 1 species
UACAGAGGUCCCAAGCGUUGUUCGGAUUCACUGGGCGUAAAGGGUGCGCAGGUGGGUUGGCAAGUUUGAUGUGAAAGCCCCGGGCUUAACCCGGGAAUGGCAUUGAAUACUGCUGAUCUGGAGGAUCGGAGGGGGGGACUGGAAUUCUUGGUGUAGCAGUGAAAUGCGUAGAUAUCAAGAGGAACACCAGUGGCGAAGGCGAGUCCCUGGACGAUACCUGACACUGAGGCACGAAAGCCAAGGGAGCAAACAGG